rnacentral:rRNA from 1 species
CUACGUGCCAGCAGCCGCGGUAAUACGUAGGGUGCGAGCGUUAAUCGGAAUUACUGGGCGUAAAGCGGGCGCAGACGGUUACUUAAGCAGGAUGUGAAAUCCCCGGGCUCAACCUGGGAAUUGCGUUCUGAACUGGGUGGCUAGAGUGUGUCAGAGGGGGGUAGAAUUCCACGUGUAGCAGUGAAAUGCGUAGAGAUGUGGAGGAAUACCGAUGGCGAAGGCAGCCCCCUGGGAUGGCACUGACGUUCAUGCCCGAAAGCGUGGGUAGCAAACAGGAUUAGAUACCCUGGUAGUCCACGCCCUAAACGAUGUCGAUUAGCUGUUGGGCAACUUGAUUGCUUAGUAGCGUAGCUAACGCGUGAAAUUGACCGCCUGGGGAGUACGGUCGCAAGAUUAAAACUCAAAGGAAUUGACGGGGACCCGCACAAGCGGUGGAUGAUGUGGAUUAAUUCGAUGCAACGCGAAGAACCUUACCUGGUCUUGACAU